AUGCGAAGUGUCGCACCUGUUGUUCUGUAUUAAAGAUUUACUAUGGUUACAUCUCUGGUUUGUUAUUGUAUUGAUUCGCAGCCGACAGACGUUCUGGCUGUGUAUUGAUCUGUGUGUACAAACAUUGUUUUGUCCACUGACAAGCAGUCGGUGUAUUUACUGGUAGAUUGUGUGUACCUGCGUUGUUUUCCGUGAUCGUUUUCUGUAAUCACGAUGCCGAAAGUAAAGGAGAGAAAGUUAUGUAAUAAACAGGAUACACCGCUGUUGACAACAGACAAAACGAAAAAUGGAAAAAAGGAAAUGGAAAGGCAGAUUGAAAAUAAAAAAAAUAAAUUACAUUCAUUUGAGGAGCCUAAUAAUAAAAGAGGAUCAGAGAUUCAGAGACCAGAGGGACUAUGCAGCAUACAGGAAAUGACUGUGGAACUGAAAGAGAGAACAAAAGAAGAUGAGUUGAUGCGUUCGUCACGGAAGGAAACCUCAUCCACAAAAAUUAGAAAAACAUCAAAACUUAAAAAAGAGUAACUCCUGAUAGAUGGCAGUGUAUGAACAAGUCUUCAAGAUAGCACCUGCACCAGAGGUGCAUUCCAAGCAAAGAACAGUUCUUGAAUUUCUGUUUGCAGCAAACCAGAUGAUCACAAACUUUCACAGACAUUUACAGAGUGGGAUGUGUGGAUAAAAGCAUGGCAAGUGGCUCUGUGAAGUUUCUGUCAUCAACAGAACAAGGAGGAAAUCUAUCGGAUCUCCCAUGUGCAGGCUGGCCCCACCAACUGGAAGGCAUGCAGUGAUACAGUGUGCAGACCCUGUUACUUGAGUAUGUAAUAAA
rnacentral:misc_RNA from 1 species